UACGAAGGGGGCUAGCGUUGUUCGGAAUUACUGGGCGUAAAGCGUGCGCAGGCGGCUUCUCAAGUCAGGGGUGAAAGCCCAGAGCUCAACUCUGGAAUUGCCUUUGAGACUGAGUGGCUUGAGUACGAGAGAGGUGAGUGGAAUUCCCAGUGUAGAGGUGAAAUUCGUAGAUAUUGGGAAGAACACCGAUGGCGAAGGCAAUCCCCUGGGCCUGCACUGACGCUCAUGCACGAAAGCGUGGGGAGCAAACAGG
rnacentral:rRNA from 1 species